rnacentral:tRNA from 1 species
UCCUGGCUUGCUCAAUCAGUACAGUAUGGGACUCUUGAUCUCGAGGUUGUGAGUUCGAGCCUCACGUUGGGUA